rnacentral:snRNA from 1 species
GGACGUGAGGCUGAUCUGGCUGUCACCCCAUUGAUUGCUAGGGUUCAUUCAGCUCAUCUUGCUGGCUAGGUGGGUGACUCCUUCCUCUCUCAUCACUCUGUGUGUUCUUCCCCAAGCUAAGUGCUGGCUUGAAAAGUACUGCCUCCUUGGAAGAGAAACAAAUUGUUUACAUGAAGCUGUACUUCCUAGUCCGAAAUUCCAAACAAGUUCUCAAGAAAUCAUCUCCGUAGCUCCUUAACCUUAAGAAAGCCAGAGGGGAGAAGUGACAAGAAUUCAGUUU